CUUGGGGCCCCCAUCGACUAUUCUUAACCUGAUCAGAAGCUUAUUCUCUCUAGCCUCCAGCUUCUUCUCUCUGUCUCAGUCUUAGUCUCUCUCUCUCUCUCUCUCUCUCUCUCUCUCUCUCUCUCUCUCUUUUCUUAGUUUUGGCCUUUUCUUCUUUCUUCUCGUUGAUUUGGUACCCUAAAUCUUGAAGGAACAAAAGAGAAAAAGCUGCUUUCAACAGACACGGUGCACAAAAAGUUCGACGUAAAGCUUUGGUGGUGCUAUAUCCGAAAGCUUCGAGAUUCUGUUGUAUACUGGAAGAUAACUGUUGGGAGAACAUAUGCACCGGUAGGACGGAAAUUGUCUUAAGAAAACUGUGAUACUACAUAGGCCUCUGACCAAUUUCAUCAACAAGCAGAUCGAAUCUAAAGACAUACAGGUCCAGGCAAUUAGCGGACGGUCUAUCUCGUGUAUCAUUUAUUAUUCCGCGUUCUCCACUGCAGCAGUAGUACUUAUAUUUCCCUAUUCUUCUUUAUUUUUCUAGACUUAUUUGCAUCAAUUAUAUUACAUAAUUUUAUAUGUACUCUUCAAAUAUUCUGACUUAAAUUAUGGACACAAAGUGACCCUAUUAUGUAGAUAUAAUAAUGACAUAUAGUAUGACAGUAGAAUAUGGU